AAAAUUCCAAUACGGGAAGGCGAAGAAGGACCUCGUUAUCGAGAGCCAUGAUGCUGCAUUCGAGGUGAAGAAAGGAGAGAUGAUCUUUGGGUUUCAGCCACUUGCAACCAAGGACGAGAAAGUGUUUGUUAAUGCCUCGGAGUUUGUAGGGGAUCGAUUUGUGGGGGAGGAUGGUAAGAAGCUGCUGAAGUAUGUGUAUUGGAGCAAUGGUUUUGAGACGGAGAGCCCGACGGUGGGAAACAAGCAGUGUGCCGGUAAGAACUUCGUCGUGCUGGUGGCGCGGCUGCUGGUGGUGGAGUUCUUCCUCCGGUAUGAUACUUUCGUCGGGGAGGUUUCGACCAACCUCUUGGGGGUGGGGGUGAAGGUGAAGUCGUUGACCAAAGCCG
rnacentral:misc_RNA from 1 species